AUACGGAGGGUGCAAGCGUUGUUCGGAAUUAUUGGGCGUAAAGCGGAUGUAGGCGGUUUGUUAAGUCGGAUGUGAAAUCCCUGGGCUCAACCCAGGAACUGCAUUCGAUACUGGCAAACUAGAGUCUCGGAGGGGGUGGCGGAAUUCCCGGUGUAGAGGUGAAAUUCGUAGAUAUCGGGAGGAACACCAGUGGCGAAGGCGGCCACCUGGACGAUGACUGACGCUCAGAUCCGAAAGCGUGGGGAGCAAACAGGAUUAGAUACCCUAGUAGUCC
rnacentral:rRNA from 1 species